GGAAUUCACUACUAGUGUGUAAAAGGAACUAAUUAGCAACAUCUGCCAACUCUCAUAAGAGAGGAUGUAGAGAUUGAGAUUGCUGAUCUAGAACUGCAAGAUCUCGAAGCCCCAAGUCGCAGGAACGAUACUAGUGACACCACAAUUGUCCUCACCUUAACCACCACCUUCUUAAGCUUCCCUGAUCGUGAUCGUCUCAAUUUGCUUCUCGACGCUAGCUUGUAGGAUUGUAGAAACAUCUGCCUUUGCUUAGCUUUAGCAACUCUAUAUCCAAAAGAAGCCAUCCCAGGAUGAGCUGACACAUUUCUAGGCUUGGAAGCCGUUCGCCGGCCAAGAUUUUCCGGCCUGUUGAAAGCAUCGUAGUAGUGAUCCAACGGCUCAUAACCGUUUAAUCGCCGGCUAAGACUUGUUGUGGCGCUGCGGACUAGGGUGUUCAUGGCUAGCUGUAAAUGAGCUGAUA
rnacentral:misc_RNA from 1 species